AUUGAACGCUGGCGGAAUGCCUAACACAUGCAAGUCGAGCGGGGUGUAGCAAUACACCUAGCGGCGGACGGGUGAGCAAUACAUAGGAAUCUGCCUCAGAGUGGGGAGUAGCCCGGGGAACCCGGAUUAAUACCGCAUGAUGUCGCAAGACCAAAGUAGGGGGACCGUAAGGCCUCACGCUCUGAGAUGAGCCUAUGUCUGAUUAGCUAGUUGGCGGGGUAAGGCCCACCAAGGCGACGAUCAGUAGCUGGUUUGAGAGAACGAUCAGCCACACCGGAACUGAGACACGGUCCGGACUCCUACGGGAGGCAGCAGGUGGGGAAUAUUGGACAAUGGGCGCAAGCCUGACCCAGC
rnacentral:rRNA from 1 species